rnacentral:rRNA from 1 species
ACUCCUACGGGAGGCAGCAGUGGGGAAUAUUGGACAAUGGGCGAAAGCCUGAUCCAGCCAUGCCGCGUGUGUGAAGAAGGUCUUCGGAUUGUAAAGCACUUUAAGUUGGGAGGAAGGGCAGUAAGUUAAUACCUUGCUGUUUUGACGUUACCGACAGAAUAAGCACCGGCUAACUCUGUGCCAGCAGCCGCGGUAAUACAGAGGGUGCAAGCGUUAAUCGGAAUUACUGGGCGUAAAGCGCGCGUAGGUGGUUUGUUAAGUUGGAUGUGAAAGCCCCGGGGCUCAACCUGGGAACUGCAUCCAAAACUGGCAAGCUAGAGUACGGUAGAGGGUGGUGGAAUUUCCUGUGUAGCGGUGAAAUGCGUAGAUAUAGGAAGGAACACCAGUGGCGAAGGCGACCACCUGGACUGAUACUGACACUGAGGUGCGAAAGCGUGGGGAGCAAACAGGAUUAGAUA